UACGUAGGGUGCAAGCGUUGUCCGGAAUUAUUGGGCGUAAAGAGCUCGUAGGCGGUCUGUUGCGUCGGCUGUGAAAACCCGGGGCUCAACUCCGGGCCUGCAGCCGAUACGGGCAGACUAGAGUUCGGCAGGGGAGACUGGAAUUCCUGGUGUAGCGGUGAAAUGCGCAGAUAUCAGGAGGAACACCGGUGGCGAAGGCGGGUCUCUGGGCCGAUGACUGACGCUGAGGAGC
rnacentral:rRNA from 1 species